rnacentral:rRNA from 1 species
CCACAAGGGGUGAAGCCUGCGGUUCAAUUGGAGUCAACGCCAGGAAACUUACCAGGAGCGACAGCAGGAUGAGGGUCAGGCUGAAGACUUUACCUGACGAGCUGAGAGGAGGUGCAUGGCCGUCGCCAGCUCGUGCCGUGAGGCGUCCUGUUAAGUCAGGCAACGAGCGAGACCCUUGCCGAUAAUUGCUAGCCGCGAUCGCAAUAUCGCGGAGGCUAGUUAUCGGGACUGCCGCUGCUAAAGCGGAGGAAGGAGAGGGCCACGGCAGGUCAGUAUGCCCCGAAACUCCUGGGCCACACGCGGGCUGCAAUGGUAGGGACAAUGGGUCCCGACCUCGAAAGAGGAAGGCAAUCCUCAAACCCUACCCCAGUUGUGAUUGAGGGCUGAAACCCGCCCUCAUGAAUAUGGAAUCCCUAGUAACCGCGUGUCAUCACCGCGCGGUGAAUACGUCCCUGCUCCUUGU